GUGCUCACUUCAGCUGCACCCACACUAAAAUGUGUACAAUACAAAGAGUGGCACGGACCCUGCACGAGGAUGACAUACAAAUUCAUUAAGUAGCCCAUGUUUAA
ensembl:snRNA U6 U6 spliceosomal RNA